GAUGAACGCUGGCGGCGUGCCUAAUACAUGCAAGUCGAGCGAACAGACGAGGAGCUUGCUCCUUCGACGUUAGCGGCGGACGGGUGAGUAACACGUAGGUAACCUACCUAUAAGACUGGGAUAACUUCGGGAAACCGGAGCUAAUACCGGAUAAUAUUUCGAACCGCAUGGUUCGAUAGUGAAAGAUGGCUUUGCUAUCACUUAUAGAUGGACCUGCGCCGUAUUAGCUAGUUGGUAAGGUAACGGCUUACCAAGGCAACGAUACGUAGCCGACCUGAGAGGGUGAUCGGCCACACUGGAACUGAGACACGGUCCAGACUCCUACGGGAGGCAGCAGUAGGGAAUCUUCGGCAAUGGGCGAAAGCCUGACGGAGCAACGCCGCGUGAGUGAUGAAGGUCUUCGGAUCGUAAAACUCUGUUAUUAGGGAAGAACAAACGUGUAAGUAACUGUGCACGUCUUGACGGUACCUAAUCAGAAAGCCACGGCUAACUACGUG
rnacentral:rRNA from 1 species